UACGUAGGGGGCUAGCGUUGUCCGGAAUCAUUGGGCGUAAAGAGCGUGUAGGCGGUCCGGUAAGUCCGCUGUGAAAGUCGGGGGCUCAACCCUCGAAUGCCGGUGGAUACUGUCGGGCUAGAGUGCGGAAGAGGCGAGUGGAAUUCCUGGUGUAGCGGUGAAAUGCGCAGAUAUCAGGAGGAACACCUAUUGCGAAGGCAGUUCGCUGGGACGUUACUGACGCUGAGACGCGAAAGCGUGGGGAGCAAACAGG
rnacentral:rRNA from 1 species